AGUAUUUUAUCUUUUUAAAAAUUUGCAACGGGAGUGUCAUUUCAACAUUGUAGUAGCAUUUGCGAACUUCCUGAAGGUUGGAUAGAUAGGUGGUCCAAUAGAAGCAAGCCACACUAUUGCCACACUCACUCCCCACUACACAAAUAUAAAAUAGGAAUAGUCGGAAACGCAACCAUUGGCUCUUCCAUUUUCUCACUUCACCAACCCCAACAUUCUUCUUCAAUGGCUUCUCUCACCGGCGCCGCCUCUCGUCUCUUCCUUGCCGCCAGAACUACCGGCUCCACCACUACUACCAGACUCUAUUUCUCCUCCUCUUAUGUAUCUCCUCUUAAAUGCCCCAAAUCAUCUCCUCUUUUAUCCCACGUAUUUCGAUACCAGAAACAAUCAUUGGUUCGAGUAUCGAGUGGAAGUUUCAGUACUGUAGCAUCACCGAAAUGUGCUGCCUCUGAUCCUGAUCAGUUGAAAAGUGCGAGAGAGGACAUCAAAGAGCUACUGAAGACUAAGUUUUGUCAUCCUAUUUUGGUUCGUUUGGGCUGGCAUGAUGCUGGUACUUACAACAAGAAUAUUGAGGAAUGGCCACAAAGGGGUGGAGCUAAUGGAAGCUUAAGAUUCGAAGUUGAACUGAAACAUGGAGCCAAUGCUGGACUUGUAAAUGCAUUGAAACUUCUCCAGCCUAUCAAGGACAAGUAUUCUGGUGUGACUUAUGCUGAUUUGUUCCAGCUGGCCAGUGCAACCGCCGUUGAGGAGGCUGGGGGCCCUAAAAUUCCCAUGAAAUAUGGGAGGAUGGAUGUGUCCGGACCUGAGCAAUGCCCAGAAGAAGGAAGACUUCCUGAUGCUGGUCCCCCUUCUCCUGCUGCUCAUUUGCGUGAUGUCUUCUACAGGAUGGGAUUAAAUGAUAAGGAAAUUGUUGCACUUUCUGGGGCUCACACUUUGGGGAGAUCAAGACCUGAACGUAGUGGUUGGGGAAAGCCAGAAACAAAAUAUACGAAAGAUGGACCAGGAGCUCCAGGAGGGCAAUCAUGGACCGUGCAGUGGCUGAAAUUUGACAAUUCCUACUUUAAGGAUAUUAAGGAGAGACGAGACAACGAUCUGCUAGUUUUGCCAACGGAUGCUGUUCUUUUUGAAGAUCCUUCAUUUAAGGAAUAUGCAGAGAAGUAUGCUGUAGAUCAAGACUCAUUUUUCAAAGAUUAUGCAGAAGCACAUGCUAGCCUGAGCAACCUUGGGGCUAAAUUUGACCCUCCUCAGGGUUUCUCCAUUUAAAAUAGUUUCAUCCGAGGUUAACCAGAGAAGUUUGUGGCUGCCUGCCAGUAAGGACUAAGUACAACUUAUCAUCUCUACUUCUGCCGAUACUUUAAAUUUAGACAAGAUCAAGCCAAUAAUCAAAACUUGAAAGCCUAGUGGACAGAAAUAAAUUCAACAGCCUUCCCUAUUUGAUUGCAGAGAGAGCUUAUGUAUGCUACGAGCCAAAAUAUUCCAACAGAAUAUGAAGGUUUAGAGGGUAGGCCAGAUAAGCCUCUUCUGACAAACUUUUUCUAAAUAUCAUGAUUCUAGCUGGUGUUGGCACAUUUGACAUCUCAGCUUGGGAGUUGAGGUAUUUUUGACCGAUAUGAUAGGAAAUAUGCAGUGCGUUUUCAGUUCACAUUCUUGAUUUAUGAAAAUCUUGCAAUCAGUGAUGAUAUUGUUUGGUUAUGUAUGUGCUACUUGAAUUAAACGCGUUGAAAUUCACUUAAAUAUGGACUGGAAUGGCUGUGAUUUUCUACUUUAAA